AUACGGAGGGGGUUAGCGUUGUUCGGAAUUACUGGGCGUAAAGCGCACGUAGGCGGAUUGGAAAGUUGGGGGUGAAAUCUCAGGGCUCAACCCUGGAACUGCCUCCAAAACUAACAGUCUAGAGUUCGAGAGAGGUGAGUGGAAUUCCAAGUGUAGAGGUGAAAUUCGUAGAUAUUUGGAGGAACACCAGUGGCGAAGGCGGCUCACUGGCUCGGUACUGACGCUGAGGUGCGAAAGCGUGGGGAGCAAACAGGAUUAGAAACCCCAGUAGUCC
rnacentral:rRNA from 1 species